rnacentral:rRNA from 1 species
AAAGUUUGCCGCUCAACCGUAAAAUUGCAGUUCAAACUGGCAGUAUUGAGUACAGUAGAGGUGGGCGGAAUUCGUGGUGUAGCGGUGAAAUGCUUAGAUAUCACGAAGAACUCCGAUUGCGAAGGCAGCUCACUAGACUGUUACUGACACUGAUGCUCGAAAGUGUGGGUAUCAAACAGGAUUAGAUACCCUGGUAGUCCACACAGUAAACGAUGAAUACUCGCUGUUUGCGAUAUACAGUAAGCGGCCAAGCGAAAGCAUUAAGUAUUCCACCUGGGGAGUACGCCGGCAACGGUGAAACUCAAAGGAAUUGACGGGGGCCCGCACAAGCGGAGGAACAUGUGGUUUAAUUCGAUGAUACGCGAGGAACCUUACCCGGGCUUAAAUUGCAACAGAAUAUAUUGGAAACAGUAUAGCCGUAAGGCUGUUGUGAAGGUGCUGCAUGGUUGUCGUCAGCUCGUGCCGUGAGGUGUCGGCUUAAGUGCCAUAACGAGCGCAACCCUUAUCUUUAGUUACUAACAGGUUAUGCUGAGGACUCUAGAGAGACUGCCGUCGUAAGAUGUGAGGAAGGUGGGGAUGACGUCAAAUCAGCACGGCCCUUACGUCCGGGGCUACACACGUGUUACAAUGGGGGGUACAGAAGGCGGCUACCUGGUGACAGGAUGCUAAUCCCAAAAACCUCUCUCAGUUCGGAUCGAAGUCUGCAACCCGACUUCGUGAAGCUGGAUUCGCUAGUAAUCGCGCAUCAGCCAUGGCGCGGUGAAUACGUUCCCGGGCCUUGUACACACCGCCCGUCAAGCCAUGAAAGCCGGGGGUACCUGAAGUACGUAACCGCAAGGAGCGUCCUAGGGUAAAACUGGUAAUUGGGGCUAAGUCGUAACAAGGUAGCCGUACCGGAAGGUGCGGCUG